GGCUUCAUAAUGUAGUGGUUAGCAUGUCUGCUUUACACACAGAAGGCCCCAGGUGAAGCUA
rnacentral:tRNA from 1 species